rnacentral:rRNA from 1 species
UACGAAGGGGGCUAGCGUUGUUCGGAAUUACUGGGCGUAAAGCGUGCGCAGGCGGCUUCUCAAGUCAGGGGUGAAAGCCCAGAGCUCAACUCUGGAAUUGCCUUUGAGACUGAGUGGCUUGAGUACGAGAGAGGUGAGUGGAAUUCCCAGUGUAGAGGUGAAAUUCGUAGAUAUUGGGAAGAACACCGGUGGCGAAGGCGGCUCACUGGCUCGUAACUGACGCUGAGGAGCGAAAGCGUGGGGAGCGAACAGG